rnacentral:rRNA from 1 species
UGUUAUCCGGAAUUAUUGGGCGUAAAGCGUCUGCAGGUUGAUAUACAAGUCUUUUGUUAAAUUUUCAGGCUUAACCUGAAGUCAGCAAAAGAAACUGUUUAUCUUGAGUAUGGUAGAGGUAAGGGGAAUUUCCAGUGGAGCGGUGAAAUGCGUAGAUAUUGGAAAGAACACCAACAGCGAAGGCACCUUACUGGGCCAUUACUGACACUCAGAGACGAAAGCUAGGGUAGCAAACGGGAUUAGAUACCCCGGUAGUCCUAGCCGUAAACGAUGGAUACUAGAUGUUGCGUACUUUAUAGUAUGCAGUGUCGUAGCUAACGCGUUAAGUAUCCCGCCUGGGAAGUAUGCGCGCAAGCGUGAAACUCAAAGGAAUUGACGGGGGCCCGCACAAGCGGUGGAGCAUGUGGUUUAAUUCGAUGCAACACGAAGAACCUUACCAGGACUUGACAUGAAGAGAAGUUUCUUGAAAGAGAAAUGUGCUACGGCCUCUUACACAGGUGGUGCAUGGCUGUCGGCAGCACGUGUCGUGAGAUGUUGGGUUAAGUCCCGCAACGAGCGCAACCCUUGUCUUGUGUUGCCCUUUAUUGGGGAUCUCAAGAGACUGCCGAUGAUAAAUCGGAGGAAGGUGAGGAUGACGUCAAGUCAGCAUGCCCCUUAUGAUCUGGGCUACACACGUGCUACAAUGGUUAGAACAAUAGGAAGCGAACUCGCGAGAGGGUGCAGAUCCUGAAAUCUAAUCUCAGUUCGGAUUGUAGGCUGCAA